ensembl:lncRNA
GGGCUGGGCGGGGGUCCCGGCCGUUCACACGCUCUUGCUUUGGCAGAUGCUUGCGGGAAGGACGGAGCAGCGGGGAUGCCGUCGCCGACGUGGGAGUUGCGGACGAGCCCACGGGAAAGGAGCAGGAAGCCACCCCGCGCCCCGCUGGCAUCCAUGCUGUCCCUGGGCUCCCUUGAUGAAUCUUCUUCCUCCUCCGGUUCCUCCCUCUACUCCUUCCAGAGCCCUGGCCCAUUGCACUGUCAGAGUUGGCUGCCCUUGCCCCUCGGGCCACCCCAGAGCCACGCGAGCCACAACCAGAGCCAGGGCCACAGCAAGAACCAGAGCCAGAGCCAGAGGAAGAGCUGGAGCCUGAUCCAGAAGCAGCGUCAGAGGAAGAGCCAGAGGAAGAGCCUGAGGCUGAGCCAUCCCUGUGCCCCAGCUCGGAGUCCCCGGCUCUGCUGCCAGCAGCCCCCAGCACCCCCUAUUCCCUGCGGAUGACUGAGCAGAGCGAUGGAGCGCAGAGCCCCAUGGAGCCCUCCCCGCCCCACUGCUCCCACACGGAGCUCAUCCAGGAGCUGAUCUGUGCCAUCCGUGGGAACCACGCAGCCGUUGAGCGCCGCUGCCAACUGCUGCGGGCAGUGCUGGAGCGGCAGAGGGCAGCCGGGACGCCCAGAGAGCCCUUUCACGACCCCCC